UGACCUGGGCGUACACACGUGCUACAAUGGUUGGUACAACGAGUUGCGAGUCGGUGACGGCGAGCUAAUCUCUUAAAGCCAAUCUCAGUUCGGAUUGUAGGCUGCAACUCGCCUACAUGAAGUCGGAAUCGCUAGUAAUCGCGGAUCAGCACGCCGCGGUGAAUACGUUCCCGGGCCUU
rnacentral:rRNA from 1 species